rnacentral:lncRNA from 1 species
GGAUGACAGAGUCUCAUUCUUGUUGCCCAGGCUGGAGUGCAAUGGUGCGAUCUCAGCUCACUGCAACCUCCAGCUCCCAGGUUCAAUUGAUACUCCUGCCUCAACCUCCCAAGCAGCUGGGAUUACAGGUGCCCCGCCACCAUGCUCGGCUAAUUUUUUGUAUUUUUAAUAGAAAUGCGGUUUUACCAUGUUUCACAGGCUGGUCUCAAAAUCCUGACCUCAAGUGAUCCACCUGCCUCGGCCUCCCAAAGUGCUGCGAUGACAGGAGUGAGCCACGGCACCCGGCCAGUUCAUCCCUUUCAAGUUCAGCCUUCCACAAAACCCUCAGGCAUGGACACAGUUCAGCCAAAUUAUUUGCCAGCUUCUAACAGGGUUCUCAAAGAAAAGGCAAGAUGAAGAACAGAAGCAGAGCUCACUGAUGGUCAAGGGAAGAGACGAGCUCAAUGGCUACAAAGCUGAGAUCCGGUGGUAAACCCUGGACACAUCUCCCUGUGGACUUGAUUUUACUUUGGAAUGGUUUUGUUGGUGCUGGUGGUAGGCAGUGGAUAGGUGGUUGUUUUUAGGACAUCGAGGCAAAUCUUCCCGAAAAUAAGCAGCGUGGCCAGGCACGGUGGCUCACGCCUAUAAUCCUAGCACUGUGGGAGGCCGAGGAGGGCAGAUCGCUUGACGUCAGGAGUUCAAGACCAGCCUGGCCAACAUAGUGAAACUCCCUCUGUACUAAAAAUACCAAAAAAAAUUAGCCAGGCAUGGUGGUGCACGCCUGUAGUCCCAGCUACUCAGGAGGCUUGAACCCAGGAGGUGCAGUGCAGUGAGCUGAGAUCCACUACACUCCAGCCUGGGCAAUAAGAAUGAGACUCCAACUCAAAAAAAGAAAAAAAAAAAAAGAAAGAAAUGGAAGAGCAGUGUCUGCUUCCACCUGCUAGGAGGGCUGCGGGAACCCAUGACAGCCCAGAAGCAGAGGACUGAGCCCAGGCCCGCCACCUCCCCUGCCCCCCCUGCCCCGCCACCUUCCCCCCAGCGCUGUGCCACAGAGCCCUCUGCAGGUCUCUCUCCAGCUGUGCCUGGGGCCCGCUCACAUCGGUGACCCACCUAUGCUAUCCCACCUGUGCUGUCCUCUCUACCUGGGGUGCGCUUCCAGUCACCUGGCUGCUGCCCAUACAUCCUUCAAGAUCCCUUUCAAACCCCACCACCUUGAGCGGACACCUCUGACUCUGCCCCUCUGCCAGGAUUCUACACAUAUAGCCCCGUCCUCCCUCCCAUGACAUUCUAUUAAAAAUUCUGUAUUUCUGCCCCUUUCCCCUCUCCAAUCAGCUCCCUGUACACCUUCCAGCUCCUCUACCCUGUACCCCUCAGGAGGCAGGAUCUUUCCUGCCCAAGGCCCUGGGCAGAGUCCACCUGGGUAAAACUGUCCUGCCAGAGUUAGGUGGGCAGCUUAGGCCUCCAGGCCUCAGGUCUGACUGCAGUCCUGUGGGGGUUCUGCAGAGGAAGGGACAGGUCCCGGGUCCCCACACUCUACGCGAAACCUAAAAAACAUGGUGCUGCUUUUGGCCAUCAGUGGGGGCUGGAUUCCCAAGUUCAAGGCAAUUCCCACUUCCCUGAGCCCAGACACCAACCCAUCCUCAUGGUCUGGAAUGACAGCCUGGGAACCACAGGUGGGCGGCACAGAGCCCACUGUAUCCUAGGAGAAGUCCUCAGACGCCUCCCUGACAGAGAAACCAAGGUUUCCCAAGGGAGCAGAGAGUCACCCACAGCCUCUGCAAACGCCACAGGCUGCAACACAGAUGCUAAAAUUACCUGAAACCCGAAGCAGAUGGUGGGGAAGACACUGAACACAGAGGUCCAGGAGGCAGGGCUGUAAACAGACAAGAACAGGAGUUUAUUAAAGAAGGGUCACACCCGGAACAACCUGCGGCUGCAAUGGUGAAUUUUAAAGGAUGCUGGGAAAAUGUAACAGAGCAUGGCUGCAAGAUGUAUUUUUAAUGACUGUGUCCGUGACCGGGCUUUUGGAAAUGGAAAAGGAUGCUGGCUAAAUGCUGCACUUUCUAAAUACGUCUUUGCUGACAUUUGGUAACAUGACAUUUUACAUGUGGGCAGAAUUUGGGCAGGAAAACCGCAGUAGGAACUCCCAACUUCCCUCUUGAAGGCUGCUGGCUCCCAGUGCGGUUUGGUAAUUGGCAGGGGCGGGGGCACCCAGAGCAUCCACCCAGUGAUCCCAAAUAGCACAAGGAUGGUUUGAGCUCUGUCCAAGCCACCUAAGAGGACAGAGGUCUGCGUGGGGAGAACCUCCAGGUCCAGCCUCUUGGGAUCCCCGCCUGGUUCACAGCUUCCUUUGACAGGCUUUGCAGGUGUAAUUACUGAAAGUAAGAUGAAGUCAUGGUGGAUUAGGGUGAGCCUGAAUCCAAUGCCUGCUGCCCUUAUUGGAAGGGAAAACAGACAGAGAGAACAUGGUGUGAGGAUGAAGGCCAAGACCCAGUGAUCCGUCUAUCAGCCAAGGAACACAGAUCGCCGCGGCCCCCAGAAGCAGGAAGAGACAGGAAAGAUCUGCCCCUGGAGUCUUCGGAGGGAGCAUGGCCUGACCACACUUUGAUCACUUGUCACAACAGCCCUCGGACACUCACAUAUCCUAACUCAUCACCUCCUGUUUUUACCAGGGCCUCCUCAUCCCCUCGACCUGCCUGUGCUAGAGUACCACCGGCUCAGUGUACAGAUCUCAGCACUCACAGCCUUCAAUGCCAUGUCUGGGCCAACGUCAGCCACGUUUCUCCUGCCAGCCCGGACCUCUCUCUCUGAACUUCAGACACACAGACCUGCCCAGCUGCUUGACUUCCCUCUUAGAUGUCUCCAGGUCGGCUCUACCUUGACUGUUCCAGCCUGAGCUGCUCCCAGGGACCCGCCCUGCUCAGUCCUCUCUAAUCCAGGAAACAGCAUCUCCAUCCUUCCCACUGUUCAAGCUGAGAGCUCCAAGUUACCUUGACUUUCUUCUCUCUCUUACUCACCUUCCAACCCACCAGCAGCACUGACCACAGAAUUCACAGGGCCAGGUGCAGGAGGAAUAUGCGGGGACCCUUGUUGGACAAGGAUUAAGGAUUUUAAGACAGUGACAUCAGAAGGGUACACUGAGCAUGGGGCCUGGGUGACUGUAGGGGUCGCACACCCACGAGCCAGCCCUGCCACUGGGAAAUCCGAUCUCAAGCAUAUCCAGUCUGACUAUUCCUCAUUGCCUCCUCUGAAGCCACCAGGUCUGGGACCCGGGAUCUAGGCAGAGGCCUCCCACUUGGUCUCUGUUGCUGCCCCUGGCUCCCAAGGACCACAGAACAGAAUAAAAAGGGUGAGCCUUUUUAUUAAUUUUUUUCUUUUUUGAGACAGAGUCUUGCUCUGUUGCCCAGGCUGGAGUGCAGUGGUAUCAUCUCGGCUCACUGCAACCUCUGCCACCCGGUUCAAGCAAUUCUCCUGCCUCAGCCUCCUGAAUAGCUGGGAUUACAGAUGCCCACCAUCACACCUGGCUGAAUUUUAUAUUUUUAUGUAGAGACAGGGUUUCACCAUGUUGGCAAGGUUGGUUUUGAACUCCUGACCUCAAGUGAUCCACCUGCCUCAGCCUCCCAAAGUGCUGGGAUCACAACUAUGAGCCACCACACCCUACCUAGAGUGACCCUUUCUAAAAACAAAUCCUGUCACAUCCCUGCUGUACUCAAAACACUGCCAAGUCUCCCAACUCAUCCAGAGCAAAACCAAACUCCUCGCCGUGGCUCUGAAUCCCUGUACGACAUCCCCGCCCAUGCUCUCUGCCCUUGUUCCGGCUGGCUUGGCCACACCGGCCUCCUCACUGUUCCCCUGCCCCGGUACAUGCAGCUGGAUGGCUGCCAGAUUCUGUACCUCCACACUGUGGGGACAAGUCUGCAAUAACCUAUGACCCCUAGGCCGCCGCAGCCUUUGGCGGUUCUGCGUCCCUUGGCCUGUCCCGGUCAUCGCUAGCCACGGCCAGGUCCCUGCAGCAGAAGGAGAGUGGCCCUCCCUUGCCUUCACCGCAUCAGAGACGGAAAGAACUGGAAGGAAGGAGCCCAGGCUCUGCAGUGAGCCACGAGAGGCUCCUCCUCCAAGACUCCCCUCACAGACUCCCCUGCCGUGCCUCCCCGCCGAGGCUGCCGGAAGCUGUUCCCUCAGACUUACCUCAGUGAAGGAUGGGACUCACGCACGAGGCCCUGGGGCCAGAGGUAGUACUGCACGGUGAUGACCAGGGCCAGGUAACAGGCAGCCAGAGUGCCUAGGAUGCUAACACAGUGACCGUGUGAGGGGCUGCGCAGUGGGUGACAUGUGCGGUUGAUGCACGGGGACAGUAGUGGGAUCUGAAUCCCAGCUCCGCCCUUGACAAUGAGGUGCUGGCCAAGCUGUCCACCUCUGCCUCACCAUCCUCAUCUGUACAGGGGGCAUGUGGGGCAGGGCUGCUUUGGGGUCAAGGGGUCAGAUGUAGAGUUUUGUUGUUGUUGUUUUGUUGUUGUUGUUGUUUUUUGAGACGGAGUCUCGCUCUGUUGCCCAGGCUGGAGUGCAGUGGCGCAAUCUUGGCUCACUGCAAACUCUGCCUCCCGGGUUCAAGCAAUUCUCCUGCCUCAGCCUCCCGAAUAGCUGGGAUUACAGGUGUCCGCCCCCACGCCUCGCUAAUUUUUGUACUUUUAGUAGAGACAGGGUUUCACCGUGUUGGUCAGGCUGGUUUUGAACUGCUGACCUCGUGAUCUGCCUGCCUUGGCCUCCCAAAGUGCUGGAAUUACAGGUGUGACGCCCAGCCCAAAUGUGUAGAAUUCUUAAUGGCACCCGGCGCCCUUCGGGAUGGCAGCUGUAAUAGUGUUUCCUUCCCACCAGCAAAAGCUAAUCAGCCACUCAGCCUGAUGCCUAAGGCAGGACGCCAGCAGGCUCGCUCACACUUGAGAGGGGACAAGCCGCCCCCUGGCUUGGUCUGAGUGGCACGAGAGCCUUGCAGGGCAGAGACCUGAGGGAGGCUCGGGUUUGCUGCCUGCUGUUUCUAUACAAUGUCUAUUGUUCAUACACAACAGGGAAAAGGCAGGCAGCAGAGGGAGAUGGAUACUGUUUCCAAGCUUUAUUUCUUCCUAAGUAUACAGACCCUUAGCCACAAAAAAACAACCUCUGUGUGUGUGCACACAUGUGCGUGCAUGGGCACGGGGACAUGCGGGGAUGGGGGUGCAUGUGUG